rnacentral:rRNA from 1 species
GAUGAACGCUAGCGACAGGCCUAACACAUGCAAGUCGAGGGGCAGCACAUGAGUAGCAAUACGAUGGUGGCGACCGGCGCACGGGUGAGUAACACGUAUGCAACCUACCUGUAAGAGGGGAAUAACCCGGAGAAAUUCGGACUAACACCGCAUAAUACCUCGAAGCUGCAUGGCUUUGAGGUUAAAUAUUUAUAGCUUACAGAUGGGCAUGCGUAGCAUUAGAUAGUUGGUGAGGUAACGGCUCACCAAGUCAACGAUGUUUAGGGGUUCUGAGAGGAAGGUCCCCCACACUGGUACUGAGACACGGACCAGACUCCUACGGGAGCAGCAGUGAGGAAUAUUGGUCAAUGGGCGAGAGCCUGAACCAGCCAAGUCGCGUGAAGGAANAAGGUUCUAUGGAUUGUAAACUUCUUUUGUAAGGGAUAAAAAGNGUUACGUGUAACUUAUUGUAUGUACUUUACGAAUAAGGAUCGGCUAACUCGUGCCAGCAGCCG